UCAUCCGAAAAUUCAGCCGUCACCGUGUGUCGUCAGUGUACAACUCAUGUCCAUACACCGUGAUGCUUCAGCCAAGUUGCUUUUAUUGGUACCAGAUAUCAAAAUAAAUACUCUGCUUUCUGAUUUGUAUGGCUGGGGAUCAGGGAGCCUAGGAAGUUAGCAGAACCAGCAGCUGAAGAGAGAGGAUGCCUGGGAAGUUUCCUCAACUGGUGGAGAGGAGUCAUGUCAAAGAAUUCCUAGACAGCUUUGACAUAGUUCUUACUGACUGUGAUGGCCUUAUGACACCAAGAGUAUCCAUCAUGGACGAUCACGAACUAUACAUGGCAGAAUUUGCGGAUGAAAUACUGAGCAGAUCCUCAAGCAGCAAGAUGCUCAGUGAAGACAAGUUCCUCGCCAUCAUUAGUCAUCUCCGUAAUCCUCAGGAGAAGGUUUCUCCCAAGUUCAAGUGGUGGGUGAAAACAAAGUGCUUCAGGCUCCUUGACCUUCCCAAACAUGGCUUAAAAGAUGUCCUCGUGAUCCCAAAAAAAGGAGCAACAGUUAGUCGGUCAUCACGGAGUUACCUUAAAGUGGUCAACACGUGUAAAUUGUAUCAUAUUAUACACAAGUUACACAGUCAGUCUAUCCCACACACCGGCUACAAAAAGAUACUGAGGGAAGCCAGCAAAGAGUAUUAUGGGAUAGCAAGGAGCUACGUUCAGCAGUAUUGUAAUACCUGCCCCACCUGCCAGAGAGUUGGUCCCACUCCUCCUGUUAAGCAUGGCACAAGCAAGAAAUUUCUAGAUAGAUAUCAGAUUAACCUCAUCAGCAUGAUCCACUGCCCUGAUGGCUCUUACAACCACAUAGGACAUGUUACAGACCACAUCACAAAGCUUCAUGUGCUGUUUCCUCUUAAGACCAUUACAACAGAUGAAGUUUCUACCAUGAUAGAGGAACGGGUGCUGGCCUAUCUAGGACCUCUCCAUAUGUUCCUCAGUGAUGUUGGUAGGAAGAUUCUGAACCUGCAUACCAUAGACUACUUCACUCACUGGCCGGGAGAUGAUGGAGAGAGAAACAGUCAGUUAAUCGAAGAUGAGCUCACCAAAAUGAAGGCGAAGAGCUCCUCAGAUGACUUCCCGUGGGCCUCCUGGCUGCCUCGCAUCAUGUUCAAUUUAAACACAGCAGUUCACAGUCACAAAAGAGAACAGUGUUUAUGAGUAACUCCUGCUGCCAACCUCGCAGACAUGUUUUCCAUGAAGCAGUGUUGCUAUUCAUGCAAGGAAGGUUUUUACCAGGAAGUUGAAGAGGAAAAUCCAAUCAAGCUCAUUAAGAGGCAAGCCAUUCAUCCACCAUUACAGUACCAGCAAUGAACCACUGAAGUGUAUUAUUUAAAAUACGAACAACAGAAAGGUCUAGAGGAAUUUUUUUUUUUGGGGGGGGGGGAGAGGGAAGUGAGAGGGAGUAAGUGAAACAAAGAACAAAAUACAUUAAUAUAUAUCAGUAUUUGUGGUAGCUGCAGGAAAAAAAUCAACCCACCAAUCAUGCCUUUUGAAAGAAAAACAAAUAAAAAUGAAUUCAUCUUUAUUUUUAUUUUGACCUUUGAUACCAGAUAUUUUAAAGAAGGUUAUAGAACUUAAUAAUAAUAACUCAACCUAAAUGUACAGUAUACUAUAGUUUCUACAGUUUUUUAGAUAAGAAAUACUGUACUGUACUCCAAUGUAUAUUUGGGUACAGUACUAAGCAAGAAUAUUACAUUUUGAUCAUUAUUUUGACUUAAUCAUAAAUACAAAUGCAAUACAAUGAACUGAAAAAAUAUCCCAAUAUUACCAUGCAAUUUAGAAAAAAUAAGUGAUACAGCAGCUAAUAACUGUUCAGUAUUGUUUUAACAUCAUAAAUUUAAGUGGUGAUGUUUACUGUAGUACUAUACAGUUUUCAAAAUCUUGUACAACUUCAGAACACAGCACUAUGGGAACACUGGAUUAUGGAGACUGGAGUAGAAGUCCAUUACAAUAUUGCAAGAUGGUUUAGAAGUUAUAAUAUGAUACUUCUGGAGACACAGAUAUUCCAAGAAGUUGCACCACAUACCUGUGCAUAACACUUAAUUAAGGAGUCUUGUGGUGUGCUAAUGCUCCAAUAGGCAAAGCAAAUGAAGCCUUAAACCAACUGAGAGCUUUAGGGAAGAAAAUCUUUUAUGUUACCAACAAUUCUUCAAAAUCACGUGAAGAAUAUGCUCAGAAGUGUAAGAAACUUGGCUUUAUUGCUGACAAG
rnacentral:misc_RNA from 1 species